GUCCGGUUCGAAAACGCCGCUCCGAGGUCACUUCUCAUUCAUCGUCUGGUGAAUCAUCGGCCACCCAGCUACCACCUUUGAAAACAGUUGCUGGGGCUAAACCGAAACCAAGCAAGAAGGCCCGCCUGGAUAGAGCGGCUGAAGAAGAUGUGGCCCCAGAAUAUGACCAAGCACCUGAUCAUGAAGUGUUUACUUGUGAAGAUAUCCCCAAUGAUCCUCCUCUGCAAGACAACGUUAUCCCUGAAGAAGGUCCUAUUCAUAUUCCAGCCUCUGCUGAUCCGCCUGCCAGCUCUGUCCAGAUUGAGAAAUCCCACACUCCUGCUGACAAACCGGCCGCACCAACCCAAACCGGCGAGUCAAAAGAUGAUGAUGUUGUGAUUACCGGCGUAGGCCGCUCUGAACCUGGGAAUCCUGCCACCCU